GACGAACGCUGGCGGCGUGCCUAAUACAUGCAAGUCGAACGCACUCUCGUUUAGAUUGAAGGAGUUUGCUCCUGAUUGAUAAACAUUUGAGUGAGUGGCGGACGGGUGAGUAACACGUGGGUAACCUGCCCUAAAGUGGGGGAUAACAUUUGGAAACAGAUGCUCAUACCGCAUAAAACCUAACACCGCCUGGUGUAGGGUUGAAAGAUGGUUUCGGCUAUCACUUUAGGAUGGACCCGCGGUGCAUUAGUUAGUUGGUGAGGUAAAGGCUCACCAAGACCGUGAUGCAUAGCCGACCUGAGAGGGUAAUCGGCCACACGGGGACUGAGACACGGCCCAGACUCCUACGGGAGGCAGCAGUAGGGAAUCUUCCACAAUGGACGAAAGUCUGAUGGAGCAACGCCGCGUGAGUGAAGAAGGUUUUCGGAUCGUAAAACUCUGUUGUUGGAGAAGAAUGUAUCUGAUAGUAACUGAUCAGGUAGUGACGGUAUCCAACCAGAAAGCCACGGCUAACUACGUG
rnacentral:rRNA from 1 species